UGCGUAGGGUGCGAGCGUUGUCCGGAUUUAUUGGGCGUAAAGAGCUUGUAGGCGGCUCGUCGCGUCGGGUGUGAAAACUUGCGGCUUAACCGCAAGCCUGCACCCGAUACGGGCGGGCUAGAGUUCGGCAGGGGAGACUGGAAUUCCUGGUGUAGCGGUGGAAUGCGCAGAUAUCAGGAGGAACACCGGUGGCGAAGGCGGGUCUCUGGGCCGAUACUGACGCUGAGAAGCGAAAGCGUGGGGAGCGAACAGG
rnacentral:rRNA from 1 species